CAGUAGCCGCGGUAAUACAGAGGGUGCGAGCGUUAAUCGGAUUUACUGGGCGUAAAGCGUGCGUAGGCGGUGUUGUAAGACUGAUGUGAAAUCCCCGGGCUCAACCUGGGAACUGCAUUGGUGACUGCAACGCUGGAGUGCGGCAGAGGGGGAUGGAAUUCCGCGUGUAGCAGUGAAAUGCGUAGAUAUGCGGAGGAACACCGAUGGCGAAGGCAAUCCCCUGGGCCUGCACUGACGCUCAUGCACGAAAGCGUGGGGAGCAAACAGGAUUAGAUACCCCCGUAGUCCCUGUCUCUUAUAC
rnacentral:rRNA from 1 species